rnacentral:misc_RNA from 1 species
AUCUAAUACAUUUUUAUUUUAUAUCUAAUAACAUCAAGAUUAAGAAGAACUUAUGGUUGUAUAUAAUUAGCUUGUACAGUAAUUGAACAAGAAAAAUGGUUGUACACUUCAAAGUGUUAAUUAAUUAAAAAAUCAAGUUUGACAGGAUUAACAGAUUCUGUUAAAGUGAACUGACUUAUUAAAUAAACCAUGUCAGUGGGAAAAAAUAUCUUGAUAUAUUUCUUGUGCGUGAAUUGGACAUUUAAAGCUGUAAAUUCAAUUGGCACAGAUGGAAGUUGGGAAGAAUGGUGGACGUAUGAAGGAAUAUCAGGUCCUGAUUUCUGGGGUCUUUUAAAUCCAGAAUGGAACCUUUGUAGCAAAGGGCAUCGACAAUCACCAGUUGAUGUUGAUCCAAAUAAACUUUUAUACGACCCCUUUCUGAGAGUCAUUCACGUAGACAAACACAGGGUCAAUGGAUUAAUACAAAACACAGGCCAUGGAGUCAUUUUCAGAGUGGACACCGGAACUCAAUCUCCAGUAGUAAACAUAAGUGGUGGUCCUUUGUCCUAUAGCUACAGGGUUCAAGAAAUUCAUUUACAUUUUGGUCGAACUGAUGGACAAGGCUCAGAACAUAGAGUUGGAAGCCAUGCAUUUCCCGCUGAAGUGCAAAUUUAUGGUUAUAAUUCCGAUUUAUAUGGAAACAUGAGUGAAGCUUCUCAAAUGUCUCAAGGUCUUGUAGGAAUUGCUCUUAUGAUUCAGAUAGGAGAGCCAUCAAAUAUGGAACUACGACUACUAACAAGUCAACUUCAACACAUAAUAUAUAAAGGUCAACAGGCAGAACUAAAAUCCCUUUCCAUUCGAGAAUUACUGCCUUCAACUGAGUAUUACAUGACAUAUGAUGGCUCAACGACGAUGCCAGGAUGUCAUGAAACAGUGACGUGGAUUGUCAUGAACAAACCUAUAUACAUCACUAAACAGCAGCUAUACGCUUUAAGAAAACUAAUGCAAGGUGAUCUCAGCAAUCCUAAAGCUCCCUUGGGUAACAACUAUAGACCAGCUCAGCUCGUUCACCACAGAGUGGUUCGGACCAACAUCGACUUCAAUCGAUCUUCGGGUCAAAGUUGUCCAACAAUGCAGAGUUCCCUGUUUUACCAAGCUAAUUAUAACAAUUGGCGACAGUGAAAACAAGUAUGUUGUCCAGUGCCUUACUAGCCAAGCCAAGAUAAAGUCAUUAAUGAAGUUGUUCACCCAUACCAGGCAAAGUAGAGGUGGUGGACCCUUCUAACUAUAGAUUCCUCAUUCCUUAACAUCCUUUAUUUUAUCCAUUCAUUUUAUUUAAAGUUGCUGCACGUCAGGUCGUACUUUAAGUUGGCUCUAUGUCUGUCAUUCCUGUGUCAAACCUGCCGACUUCAUUGCCAAGCCCUUAGAAAGACUACAUAUGAAAAUUGUACAUAAAUAAACUCUGUAAAGUUUAUAUGUAUAUGAGAAACAUAAUCUAAAAUACCAUCACUGUACAGAUGUAUUCCACCUUUAGUGCAGCUAUGUUAACUACUGUCAACUACUUACAGGAGAUGAUGUUUGUUUCGUCAGUCAAUGUUUCAUUCUGCUCCCCUCCCCCUUGACUAAGAAAUUUUAUUUUUAUGUUCAUGACCCGGUUUAAUAAAGAAUGGAAAUCAAAUCUAGAAAUGUAAGUAAAAAUAUGAGUAGAUAUUGUUUAUCUUCUCAACGGCCAUUGUAAGAGAAACAUUUCCACGGUAACUGACAAAGAAAUUCAAAAAGAGUUGUAACUUACGAAUAAAGUACCAUACUUCGCAACAUCUAAAGGAGAAGAGCUUAUAGUGCGCGUGCACAGAAAUAACUCAUAACUAACAUAAAAAACUCAAGUUGAGAAAGGUCGUACUGAUUACAUACUGAAGUGCUUUUUACCAAAUAUUAUUUUAGUUAUGAAAGAUAAAAACAAUACAUACAUUGUUGUUGUAAACUUUGCAGAACGUUUGUUAGCUUCCUUGGCAGAUGUAACUUCGAUUAGAAGUUGUCAAAAUUUCUUUUUACACACUUAACAAGUUAGAUCGCACAAAUUUACUAUCUUUCAAUCAUUGCAAUUAAAUAGAAAUUUUGUAAACUAUUUCUUAUUUUCUGAUAUAUAAAAAAAAUGAGCUAAAAAUGACAGAGUGUAAGAAAUUUUGAAAAUAAAAAUAAAAACUGCAGGACUAAACAAAAGCAAAUCUUCCGACUUGAUGAAAAUGAGACGUUGUGAUAAACACUCACGAAUUGAAACUAACUUGAAACCUUAAGCAAUAUGAUAAUAUCUAUUGUUAACAGAUCCAUUUGCUUCAAGAAUAAUAUCAAGAUAAGAAUUCAAAGUUACAAUUGGGAAGAGCAUUAUAUUGUCAAGCUACAUUCAUAUGAUGUUAAUUAAAAAUUAACAUAUAUUUCGUGUUUGUAUUCUGUGUUGUAAUGCUGUUAUAUAAUUUACAUUUUUGUUUGGAAUGUACUUGUUUUAGAUUUGUCAUCAUUUGUACUGAAUCGCAUUGUUUUUAUUCAGAAAUUUUGAAGUAAAACGUAAAAUUAAAGUUAAAAUGAAAGAAUAAAGGAAGUAAAAUAUAAUGUAUGAGA